rnacentral:lncRNA from 1 species
GUUACUGAGGGUGAGGGAAGCCCUUCCAGCCAGUUGCCGGGAGCCCUGAAGACGCGGUGGCGGGGCGGCGGGGAGCAGGGCGGGAGUGCCCUGGACUCCGCGGAUUCCUUUGGGGCUGGAGGGCCGCACACGUGUUUUACUCCAACUGUUUGCAACUUUUGAAACCCGGGCAAUCUGGCUUUGGCAUUUGAAAACCAUUUCAAACAGGAGAGAUUCCAAGAAAUGAGGGGGGUACGUUGAAACGAUGAAGAAAGGAUGGACACAGCAGUCGAGGUUGAGAGGAUUCCAGGUGUCACCACAGCAGCUGAGAAAGGAAAGAACUUGGAAUUUAGCAUACGUCAGGUUUUAGAUGUGGAAAAGCCCCAAAAGAAGGAGUAGUACCUGUGGGCACAGAGGGCAAUAUGGAGAGAAUAGACAUUAUUCUAAUUCAGGAAAAGGAAAAAUAAUUUGAACCUUCAAAGUAGCCAAGGCUGCCAGUUUCCAGGAUGCUCCCUCUGCAUCUUCCCGGCUGGUGUUUCACCUGGUCUAGUUCCUGUGUCCCAGACUGGAGAAGUUCAAGGCAGAGAUCAUCUCUCUCCUAUCCAACCUUUGAAACCUCAAUACCAAAAACCAUGAACCAUGCCUUGUGUGGAGUGUGCACCAUACACAGUUGUUGAGUGAAUUGAUGAAGUGUGACAUGAAAUUGUUGAAUAAAUGGAUGAAGU